UGCGAAAGCAGGUCUUAGUGAUCCGGUGGUUCUGUAUGGAAUGGCCAUCGCUCAACGAAUAAAAGGUACGCCGGGGAUAACAGGCUGAUCUGGCCCAAGAGUUCAUAUCGACGGCCAGGUUUGGCACCUCGAUGUCGGCUCAUCGCAUCCUGGGGCUGAAGCAGGUCCCAAGGGUCCGGCUGUUCGCCGGUUAAUAGCGGUACGUGAGCUGGGUUCAGAACGUCGUGAGACAGUUCGGUCCCUAUCUGAUGUGGGCGCAGGAUAUUUGAAGGAAGCUGUCCCUAGUACGAGAGGACCGGGAUGGCGGCAUCUCCGGUGUUCCAGUUGUUCUGCCAAGGGCAACGCUGGGUAGCUGCAUGCCGAAGGGAUAACCGCUGAAAGCAUCUAAGUGGGAAGCCCCUCCUAAGAUAAGAUAUCCCGGGCCGCAAGGCCCCUAAAGGUCACUUGGAGACUACGAGUUUGAUAGGCCGGAUGUGUAAGUCCAGUAAUGGAUUGAGCUUACCGGUACUAAUUGACCGUGAGGCUUGACCAU
rnacentral:rRNA from 1 species